GACUGAGUGGCGGACGGGUGAGUAACGCGUGGGUAACCUGCCUUGUACAGGGGGAUAACAGUUGGAAACGGCUGCUAAUACCGCAUAAGCGCACAGCAUCGCAUGAUGCAGUGUGAAAAACUCCGGUGGUAUAAGAUGGACCCGCGUUGGAUUAGCUAGUUGGUGAGGUAACGGCCCACCAAGGCGACGAUCCAUAGCCGACCUGAGAGGGUGACCGGCCACAUUGGGACUGAGACACGGCCCAAACUCC
rnacentral:rRNA from 1 species